rnacentral:rRNA from 1 species
AUACGUAGGUGGCAAGCGUUGUCCGGAAUUAUUGGGCGUAAAGCGCGCGCAGGCGGUCCUUUAAGUCUGAUGUGAAAGCCCCCGGCUCAACCGGGGAGGGUCAUUGGAAACUGGGGAACUUGAGUGCAGAAGAGGAUAGUGGAAUUCCAAGUGUAGCGGUGAAAUGCGUAGAGAUUUGGAGGAACACCAGUGGCGAAGGCGACUGUCUGGUCUGUAACUGACACUGAGGCGCGAAAGCGUGGGGAGCAAACAGGAUUAGAUACCCUGGUAGUCCACGCCGUAAACGAUGAGUGCUAAGUGUUGGGGGGUUUCCGCCCCUCAGUGCUGCAGCUAACGCAUUAAGCACUCCGCCUGGGGAGUACGGUCGCAAGACUGAAACUCAAAGGAAUUGACGGGG